rnacentral:lncRNA from 1 species
CGCUGCAGCGCUGGCGGUCGGACGCCGUGUUGAAGGAGCGUGGAUCGGUGUACUUGCGCGUGGCUGCCGUACUUGUUGGCGCCUGUGUCCGCGCCAUAGUACCCUCGUGUAUUGCAGCCCCCGGGAUGCACGACGCGACAGCAUGCAGGCAACCCCCCAGCAACACCGAACGUAUGGCGACGUUGCCGCUGAUUGGUGCCGGUGCCCUGCAGGCGUGGGCAAGUUCACGUGGCUGUUGGACUUUGAGGGUUACACCAUGGCCAACGCGCCGCCGCUCAAGGUGAGCACGCCCCGUCGGGUUUCGGCAACGGCACUUCGGGGCGAGGGCACAGUGCAGGCAUGCGCGCACAGGGAUUGCUUGGUACCGGUAUAGCAUGGGGUUGCCCUGUCCUCCUACCAGGCGACACCGAUGGCACCUUGGUUAACGCAUUGCCAAAGCUUGUGUGUGUGUGCUCACGCGACUUCGCCGUGCCUCCGUCGUGCGCCCUCGCGUGCGCCCCCUCCCCUGCAGGUGUCCAUGCAUUGCAACAGCGUGCUGGCCAACCACUACCCCGAGCGCCUGGGCCUGGCGGUGUGCUACCACGCGCCCUACCUGUUCUCGCUCACCUGGAAGGUGGGGUGUGGUGUUUUAGCAGGCAGGGGCGUCAUGUGCCGGGAGGCAGGGGUGACGGCAGGCAGGUGCCGCAGCCCGGGACUCAGGCGUGGCCCAG